rnacentral:rRNA from 1 species
UACGUAGGGGGCAAGCGUUGUCCGGAUUUAUUGGGCGUAAAGAGCGUGUAGGCGGCCUGGCAGGUCUGCUGUGAAAACUCGAGGCUCAACCUCGAGAUGUCGGCGGAAACCGUCUGGCUAGAGUCCGGAAGAGGAGAGUGGAAUUCCUGGUGUAGCGGUGAAAUGCGUAGAUAUCGUAAGGAAGACCAGUGGCGAAGGCGGGUCUCUGGACAGUUCCUGACGCUGAGGCACGAAGGCCAGGGGAGCAAACGGG